GGAGUUUGGACCGUGUCUCAGUUCCAAUGUGGCUGAUCAUCCGCUAAAACCAGCUAGAGAUCGUCGCCUUGGUGGGCCCUUACCCCGCCAACCAGCUGAUGGGCCGCGGGCCGAUCCCCCGGCGGAGCCUAGGCUCCUUUCCCGGCGCGGCUCCAUGCCGUGCCGCCGUAUCCGGUAUUACCCUGUGUUUCCACAGGCUAUCCCCGUCCGGGGGGUACGUAACCCACGUGUUACUCACCAGUCCGCCGCUCUGGGACAGUGCAAGCACUGUCUUGCCGCUCGACUUGCAUGCUUAAGACGCGCCGCCAGCGUUCGUU
rnacentral:rRNA from 1 species